rfam:Pluralibacter gergoviae strain JS81F13 contig_8, whole genome shotgun sequence.
ACUAAUUAAAACAACGAUGGGCGGGACUCCUGCCCUCCCGACUGCGGGGAAAAACGGACAGACUAUACGGCGGGUGGCCGUUCCCCACCGGCCGCGAAAAUAAGUUUUCCUUAGCAGUCUUCGAGGGUAGCGCUGCUACCCUUUUUUUCGGAGUUUA